rnacentral:rRNA from 1 species
AGAGUUUGAUCCUGGCUCAGAAUGAACGCUGGCGGCGUGCUUAACACAUGCAAGUCGAACGAGAAAGGGAUUGCUUGCAAUCCCGAGUAGAGUGGCGCACGGGUGAGUAACACGUAGAUAAUCUGCCUUCAAGCCUGGGAUAACUAUUCGAAAGGGUAGCUAAUACCGGAUAAAGUCGAUCUACACAAGUAGAUUGAUGAAAGAUUGCCUCUUCUUGAAAGCAAUUGUUUGGAAAUGAGUUUGCGUACCAUUAGCUUGUUGGUGGGGUAAAGGCCUACCAAGGCAACGAUGGUUAGCUGGUCUGAGAGGAUGAUCAGCCACACUGGAACUGGAACACGGUCCAGACUCCUACGGGAGGCAGCAGUGAGGAAUUUUGCGCAAUGGGGGCAACCCUGACGCAGCAACGCCGCGUGAGUGAAGAAGGCCUUUGGGUCGUAAAGCUCUGUCAACAGGGAAGAAGUUACAAUUGUUUAACAGAUGGUUGUAUUGACGGUACCUGUGGAGGAAGCGCCGGCUAACUCCGUGCCAGCAGCCGCGGUAAUACGGGGGGCGCAAGCGUUAUUCGGAAUUAUUGGGCGUAAAGGGCGCGCAGGCGGUCUUGUCCGUCAGGUGUGAAAGCUCGGGGCUCAACCCCGGAAGUGCACUUGAAACAGCAAGACUUGAAUACGGGAGAGGAAAGCGGAAUUCCUGGUGUAGAGGUGAAAUUCGUAGAUAUCAGGAGGAACACCGAUGGCGAAGGCAGCUUUCUGGACCGAUAUUGACGCUGAGGCGCGAAGGCGUGGGUAGCAAACGGGAUUAGAUACCCUGGUAGUCG